rnacentral:misc_RNA from 1 species
CAGGCUGGACAUGCAGGUAGUAGAAGGCUAAAACUCAAAGAAAUUGACGGGGGCUCACACAAGCGGUGGAGCAUGUUGCUUAAUUCGAGGCAACGCGAAGAACCUUACCUGGGUUUGACAUGGUCGGAUUAACUCCUGGAAACAGGAGCCACACCCGCAAGGGUGGAACGAUCACAGGUGCUGCAUGGCUGUCGUCAGCUCGUGCUGUGAAGUGUCGGGUUAAGUCCUCUAACGAGCGCAACCCCUAUCGUUAGUUGCUCGGCGAAAGCCAGUACUCUAGCGAGACUGCCGGUGUCAAACCGGAGGAAGGUGGGGAUGACGUAAUCGGAUUCUAAG